UACGUAGGGGGCAAGCGUUGUUCGGAAUUACUGGGCGUAAAGGGCGCGUAGGCGGCCCGGCAAGUCAGGCGUGAAAGCCCGGGGCUCAACCCCGGAAUGUCUUUUGAAACUGCCGAGCUAGAGUGCGGAAGAGGCAACUGGAAUUCCCAGUGUAGCGGUGAAAUGCGUAGAUAUUGGGAAGAACACCUGAGGCGAAGGCGGAUUGCUGGGCCGACACUGACGCUGAGGCGCGAAAGCCAGGGGAGCGAACGGG
rnacentral:rRNA from 1 species